UUUUUUAUACAAAAGCAAGUGUUUUUUUUUUUCAUUGAUCUGCCUCCUGAGGAACUAGAUAAAGUGUCAAUAGACAAACUGUGUUUUCUUUACAGUUAUCUGAGUGAUUGUUUCCUCCUGUUUUUCUCUGGAAAUGUCAGUGCACCUGCAUCAGCAAGGACCAGAUGGAGCUGCAGACCCCUGAGGAAGCCUCAGUCAGCAGGUCCUGUCCUCAUGGAGGAGGACUUCCUUCCCCCCAGGUCCUGCUGGAGGGGCAGCACAGCUGGGAACACAUAUCAGGAGUUCCAGGAGGUUUCUGGAGAGCUCUGAUAACUUCCAAAUGCAGUGGUGUGAGGAGCUGACAACAGGAGACCCUGCUGGACCUCACAUGUGGGAACAAGAACAGGUCAGGGCCCUGGCAGCCCCCUCUGGGGAGAAGCUGAGGGAAGAACAGUGGCUGUUGUUUAUUUCUAAUAUUUAUUUCUAGAUACAGCAUGGGCUGCAAUAAGGCACAAGAAACAAGGCUGAGCACAAUCCCAGUUUCUUUAACCAUUGGAUUAAUGCCAUCAUCCAUCAUCCUUUGGGCUUGGAAGUGCUGUUUCAUUGGAUUAAAGUUUACUUUUCUCUCCCUCCAUACAGUCAGAAAUGUAGAAAUCUGCUUUAAGGUCACAGUCUUUGAGGUUGAUGAAGUGAUGCUUCUUGUAGUGUCCUUACUUGCUUUGAGAUUUGAGAAUGGCAGCAGAAUGAAUUUAUAUAAUUAGGUAUAAACAAUGGAAAAAUAUUAAUAAAGAAAUUACCAGCAAAGGAAGGAAAAAUAUUCUUAAUGUUUGGCUUCAUGUCGGUCUAAGUCAAAUGGUCUAAUUAAAACCAAGACUUAUUAACAAUAAAGGGUUUCAAUUCAGAUGGAAGCAAAAAAUGGGUACCAGUCUUUCUUACUGCUUCUGGGAAAGAAAUUGGUAUAGACCAUUCUGGACUGGUUUAAUAAACCAGAUAUUACUUAGGCAUGCACUGAAACUGUUUCUGUACAUACUUUUCUGUAUUUCUUUAUUUUACUACCGUGGGUAUUUGCAUUUUUGUUACUUGGAAGUGUUAUGUUGCUUAGUGCUCAAAGCCAUAUUCUGUGAUGACAUAGUCAGGUAGCAUGGAAAUUAUCAUGAUUUGACUUCAAUAUUAAAGAACUGGAACAAAAAAGCUGUGAUUAUGUUUCAUAUAUCCUUCUCUGUGAUGAAAAAUGGAGCUCAAACUGUCUAAAUUGGCAUUUUAUCGGUGUUUUUCUUAAAAUAUCAGUGACUUCUAACACUUGAAAAAGCAUUCUUCCAGGGUAUGGUAGGCGUGAAACACUUCUUUGAUAGAUAUGAUUACUUGAGAUAUGAAUGCAGAAACGUUUCUGUUAAUCUUAUUGAAUAUGCUUUGAGUUUUGUAACAAUGUAGAAAGCUGAAUUUGCAUGCGGGAAAGAAAAAAUUGGUAGUGGCUACUUUGUUGCAUGUUUGGUGGUACGGUAGUUUUAGAAUUAUUUUUUCCCUGGCUAUGUUUACUAUUUAGAGCAUUUCUUCAUAGUUGCAUAAAAAAAUCAUUUUCAUCUUGUAAAAAAAUUAGGAAAUUAAACAUUUUUAUGAUCAGAACAAAACCAAAAAAUUCCCCCUCAAGAUACUUAAAAUAAAAGAAUAUUUCUGAUUUA